rnacentral:rRNA from 1 species
GACGAACGCUGGCGGCGUGCCUAAUACAUGCAAGUUGAGCGAUGAAGAUUGGUGCUUGCACCAAUUUGAAGAGCAGCGAACGGGUGAGUAACGCGUGGGGAAUCUGCCUUUGAGCGGGGGACAACAUUUGGAAACGAAUGCUAAUACCGCAUAACAACUUUAAACAUAAGUUUUAAGUUUGAAAGAUGCAAUUGCAUCACUCAAAGAUGAUCCCGCGUUGUAUUAGCUAGUUGGUGAGGUAAAGGCUCACCAAGGCGAUGAUACAUAGCCGACCUGAGAGGGUGAUCGGCCACAUUGGGACUGAGACACGGCCCAAACUGCUACGGGAGGCAGCAGUAGGGAAUCUUCGGCAAUGGACGAAAGUCUGACCGAGCAACGCCGCGUGAGUGAAGAAGGUUUUCGGAUCGUAAAACUCUGUUGGUAGAGAAGAACGUUGGUGAGAGUGGAAAGCUCAUCAAGUGACGGUAACUACCCAGAAAGGGACGGCUAACUACGUG